CCAUGCUCAUGGCGACCACUGGAAGGAGUGAAAAUAGGGCUCUUGACUGCAUUCAAAUUCUGCUGAAAGGGGACAAAAAAAAAAAAAAAAAGAAAGAACCAGAGACCAAAAAGGGAAACUAAAACCCUUAGAUUGAAGAAGUUUAGAGACCCUGAUCUAGUACCUUGGGCCUGUCAGUCUGAAAGCAGUGUUGGCAUCCAGACACUGUCACCCACCUUGUCUGAAACCAGGGGCAGCCGCAUGCUCUCCAGGUGUUUACCCUGCUUGCUGAAGACAAAAUGACUCUCUUUGGAUUUGGGAAUGAUGAAGUAGAGCUGCACCUCUUCUCCCAGCAUAGAGGAUGAGAAUGUGAAUGCAUGAAGGGUGGAGUCAGACAUCUAGGUUUGUAAAGAAGGAAGGAAGGGGAUGUAAGCUCAUGGUUUGCAAACUUCUCGACCACUUGUUAACAUUCUUAAGAGAGGUGAACUAACCUGAACUCAUACAUGCCAUCAGACUUGGCUGUCCCUGAAAUGUCGGAAGAGUUGGAAACGCAAACAUUUCAUCUUUUAGUAGCUGCCAUUGACCUGAGAGCCAAGCCUCCUGCCCCUACACAGCCUCUCCACGGGUAAAGUUUCUGUUGCUUGACACUGUCUUUUGCAUUCCUUAUGUUCUUAGAACCACUACUCCUCAGUCUUAUGCAGAGGUUAAAUAGUCCUGCUCGCUAAACAUUUUCAAAGGUGCCCAAAUAUAGGGGAAAAAAUCAUUUCCAUCUGUAUGCAUCAGGCUAAAUGAGUAUCAUUUUUUUAAGUAAAAUAUUAGGGCCAACAUCAUUAAAAUGCCUCCAUGGUCCCAUCUUUCCUGGCUACCGUGGAAGCUGAAGAAGUUUCAAAGUCAUUUAGCAUAGAACUCCGGCUUCCAGGAGAGACCAUCUGACCCACUGAAGCCAAUUAUAAAUCUAACUUAUUUUUAAAAUUGCCAGAAAGUUGGGACACCUGGCUGACUCAGUCAGUAGAGCAUGUGACUCUUGAUUUUAUGACCAGGAGUUCAAGCUGCACGUUAGGUACAGAGCUUACUUGAAAAAAAAAAGUGUUAUAAAGUUCACAUGCUCGCUCAGUAACCCAGCUCAAUGAGUAAUUACAUAAUUUAUGUGCUUUACAAUGCAGACAGUACUUGGCUUAAUGAAAGGAUAGCAUCAAUUUUCAGCAGCAACUAGAGUCCAGGUAGAUUUCCUAAGAUUUUUAACCUAAAUAUUAUAUUUCCUAGGAAAAUAGUAUAAUUCUUCCCUUGAAUUCUGGUUCAUUCUGCUUCACAAGCAUUGGAAUAUACUAGUGAGUACAAUGAUCACAGAAACUAUAUAAACAGAGGAUUCUUAAGUUAUCUAGAAGCUUAUGAUUUGUAGACCAGGUACUUGAAUCUUCUAUAUUCUGUAAAGCAUCAUGAGUGGUUUACAAAUUAGCCCACCAAAAGCUUUCGGUUAACACCAAGAAAACAAAUGGUACAUAAAAGGUAAUUUGUGUUACAAGAGCAGAAUGACCAACCCAGUUUUUCAGUAUAUCACUUCUAGCCCCUGUGGGAAAAGGGUGGAGACCUGAUCCUUAAGAGCAGAAGCAAGUUUGGGUGAAGUCUAAUCAGCAUGUCCCAUAGGAAGAGUUUUAGGUGUUCGGAACUAAGUCAUAAAAAUCAAGAAGCUAAAGUGGGAGAAAGCAACAGAGAACUUCUCCCCUACAUAGGUUCUGGACCACUGUCACCUGCUGCCUUUACCAUCUUGAGUGUUUACAGAUGCUCUGGCCAAAAAGAAACAAAGACAGUGGGGUAUUGGCUCACCUUCUGUGUUCCUUCCUCUCACUUCUCU